rnacentral:tRNA from 1 species
GCUCCGGUAGCUCAGGGGAUAGAGCAACUGCCUCCUAAGCAGUAGGUCGCGCGUUCGAUUCGCGCCCGGAGUA